UCAUGGCACAAGAUCGAAUGUCACAACUUUACUAUAUAAUAGGAAUUCUAUACAAAAUAAAUAAUUGCAUAUAAGGAGACAACGGUCCAGCAACCCAAAGUUGACUGGGAGACGACGACCUAGACCUCUCACGAACACAUCACAGCAUCCUCCAAGCGCCUCAUCCAGCGGUACCUGUUCUUGACCUGUGGGGGGUGUGAGACAGCAAGAGUGAGCUCACAUACGUUCAUCGCUCAACAAGUUGUGGGGAAUAAUGUGCAUGAACUCGCCAAAGGUGGGAGCUCACGUGAAGUGUAAGGCUUACCAAAGAGGAUGGUUAGAGCUGAGCAUUGCUUUUAAAGUUGGUCAAAAUUUUAUUAGCAAUUACUAAGUAUAAGUAAAUACCAACCCAAUUAAGUAGUAGAACAAAAGUAACAACAUCACCUGCGAUGCAAUGCAUAUGACAAAUUGAAUUUAAGUUUCAUAAUUUAAUCAUCAGAGAGUCCUGAGCUGCUCAUGACCGUGAGCUCGGCUAGUAUACCAGUUUUACACUCUGCAGAGGUGGUACCCUUUACCCACAAGUCAUGUUACCCAUCUGCCAAGGGAUCGCGACUUCCCAUACACCUCUACCGAGGAGACGAGGCAGGGUAACACUACGAGGCCUUUACAAAGUUCCACUAGCUUCAGAAAACCCGCUACAGUUUAUAGGAAGCUCCAAUGCAGGGUUCUUGCCCGACCGCCAUCGCAGCAAAAUCAACCAAGGACCUCCCUACACUAACCACUCCCCUACUGCCCUUGCCCCUUUCGAGUAAGGUAGUCCUCCACUAGCUUUCCUAAUUAAUCAGCCAAGGGCGUCCAUAAACCCUUGUGGUGGCACGUGUUUCUCAAGUUAAGCUCUAUGUUCCAAUUAACAUUAAUGAUCUUAACAUGAACAUAAAUAGAAUAACAAAAUAACUGGAACAUAGACAUGAUAAAUAAUUAUCCCAAAUCCAUGUAAAGCAAUAGCAAACUACCCAAGUGAUUCAGGGGUAAACAAGGUAAUGAGAUAAACAAUCUAGGGUAACCUAUUGGGUCCCAUCAAAAUUAACAUAUGCAUGAAUAAAUGAUAUUAAAGAACAUUAUUGGGUAACAAAAGUGAAUCAAGGGCACAACUUGUCUGGGACUUGAGAUUUCAGGUACCAGGAUGAUCUUCAGGUGACUCGUGACCUCACGCUAGUCGUAGCAAUACAAAAAAACAGUGUAUAGACAAAAUUAACAUUACACCAAACAUAAGUACAAACUGAAUAAUAAUAAUCUACGUGUCGCUACGAGACUAACGCAACUUGAACGGAUCAAAUCGGAGUUAAAACGAAGCAUUUACGAAUUUCCUAAGGUUUUAUGUAUUUGAUACGAGAUUAAUUAAGAGAUAAAUUUUAAUACAGCUUUCAUGUCAAACCAGAGGUACUAUGUGAUAAACAAUAAUAUUAUAGAAUUAUAGGAAUUGGAAUGAAUCAAUUUGGACAUCAUAUGAAUUUUCUAUGAUUAAUACAAGUUCUAGCAUUUAGUUUUACACUAAAAAUCCAUUUCUAAUCUAAUUUCUCUGAUUUUCCAACUUUCUGGACUAGGCCUCAAUUACCUGAAAAGGCAGGGGCAUCGGGGUAACAUUUCUAAGACACAGGAAACAGUAGCCAUGGACUGCGGGUUCUAAUUUGCCUAAACCGAGGGGUUCUAGUGAAAUUGGGCCCGCGAAGGGGUAUCGUGAGAUUCUGGCCGUUCGAUCAGAAACUACAGGCUCCGAUUAGAUCACAAUUUUCUCCAAGCGGUACACCUCGCUAGCCGCCAGAUCUCGCAUCGACGGUUCUGAUUCCCUGAAACACUCGUCGCCCCGAACUCUAAUCCCAGUCGCCCAACUAAGAUCCAAUGGUUACAAACAUCUCCCCUUUCCCUACCAUCCGAGGCUGCUCACCCAGGAAUCAACGGCUAACACGCCGUCUUCUCCACGGCGCUAUCCGCCGCUGCGCACACCAGGCAGGCACAGCCCCGCCCACGGCCGCAGACGCCCCCACCGAUGCGCGCAGUAAUCACGCCACCACGUCAGACCUAGGUCGAGCGAUGGUGAUACCACGCCCCGCUACGCCGAGCCGAACGCCAACCCAGAUUAAGUCUAGCCGCUAAGGUGAGCUACGCCAGGAAGAAGAAUAAGGCGAGAACGUGGGGGUGUUCCUUACCGAGGGAUUGCGCGACGCAGGAGACCACAGCCGAAGUCUUACGGCCCGACGAUGCCGAUGUGGAUCCACCACGGCGGCCGCAUGCUCUACCCCUACUACGACGGCGACUCUAUUUGUCGAUGUGGAGGGUCACUGAUUGUCGCAUCCAAGGUAUGCGGCGGCCGUUCUUUUUAUAUCCCGAACGCGAGGCCGAGGACCCAGUCAAAUCCCACCGACCCGCCGAAAUCGCGGAUUCUGUUAGGCUUCGGUGCUCGUUUCAACGAGGAAGACGCCUGGAAUGCCAGACCCACCACGCAGCAACCCAAAGCGAGGCAAGCGUGCGUCCAAGGCAGCCAGGUGGGACCCACCGGUCGGUCCUAGGCGCACAGCGCGCAGCUCCCCUGGCGGAGGUUGAGCAGCACGUAGAUGCAUCCCUGGUCCAUAACUCCAUACGGUUCAGAAUACGGAGCAAUACUCGGGCCUAGUCAUCAGUGGUACAAUCGCACCUAGAGAUGAGGUCACUACUAACGUCGGCAUGACCUCACCACUCAUGAAUACAUUAAACAAUUCCGGCAGCUCGUCAAUUGUGUGCGCAAGCAUGUGGUUUCCAGCCCAGGUCUGUUGGGUGAGCCGAGCCAGAGCUCCAUGGCCCAGGUAACGUGUUUCUUUUUUUUAUUUCUAUUUUUUUGUUGUUUUCUAAUUUAAAUCUCUAAAUUCGAAUUUGUGAUUCAAACUUAGAGUCAAAGUCAUCAUGCCCAAUCAAAAUAUCCAGCAUGCUGCAAAGUUUUUAUUUUUAUUUUAAUUAUAUAUAUAUACUCAUUGCUUUAUUCAUUUUAAACAACUACUUCCAAGUGUAUAUUUUAUACCCACCAAAUAUAUGUUGUAAUAAAAUAAUUUCUAUUGCACAAAUUUAUUGAUAGUUAUUUCAGAUACAUUUCUAAAUAUUUUAUCUAAAAAGAAUAACUUAAUUUUAUAUUGAUUUUUUUCGUAUUAUUCUAUUAGAAAUCCCUAGUAAUAUUUUUGAUUGCUACAAAUUCUACUUUUCAAACUUAAACUUGUCUUAAAAUUUUGAGUACAAAGGUAAACAUGUAAGAACUCCAUCAUGAGGUGCAUAAUUCUAUAUCUAUUUAUUUUGUUAUUUGGUCAAUAUAAUUAUAUUAUUUGAAUAUGCACACAUAGAAGAAACUCAAUUAAUCUCCCAAGGUUCCAUAAAUUCCUCAAGACAUUAACUUAUACUAUAUUUAUUUAUUUAUUUAUAUCCUUAUUUUUUGUUGAUACAAAUUUUGGGCUCUACAAAUCCUACCCCCUUAAAAAGAAUCUCGUCUCCGAGAUUUGUAAGUAAAGGGAUACAAUAGGUUUGGUCUAGAAUUUUAGUUUCUCAUUUGGUUUUGGGAAUCAAAGUUUUGUUCAAGUUUUUACAUAUGAAUAUUGUAUGUCUAGACAUUUAUUAGGUCAGAUGAGGUACGGUUAUGGCAAGUAGAGGCUGUGGCAAGGGUAUAAUAAGGAAAGACUUCAUCCUGAACUCUGGAUCUUGAUUCCUCUCGCGAUCUAACUUGAUCUUUGAAGACUUGAGUUGAUGCUUAUCUUCCUUUGACGUGGUUGGUCUUCUUUGGCCUUUAUUCUUGGAGUUAUCAUCCGAGUUAAUGACAUAUGGUUAAGAUAGUUGUCGGUGCUUGGAUGGGUAGGCCCAACAAGUUUUACUUUGCUUUUGGGAUAAAUGGGUUGGGCAACCUAUAACAUAGGCUAGGUUGUGGUUUCACGGACGAGUUGGUCUAAGACACCAAUUCAGGUUUAGCACCCAUUUAUAGGAAUAUAAUCUAAUCUAUGUUUCCAGUAUUAACUAGCUUGUUUAAGUAACUUAGAUUAUAGUAGUUCAACUUAAGGUUAGACUUCGUUAGGUUGGAUUAAUCUAUCACAUCGGAUCAGAUCUAGGUUAGAUUGUUAUGACUAGAUAGACUAGAUAAAAUCUCAUUAAUUAGAUCCUGGUUGUUACUUUAGGAUGAGAUAAGUAGAGUGGUUAGGAUAAGAUGAUUCCUUCAAGAUAAGAUGAAUCUAUUGGGAUAAGAGAGAAUCUUUUAAGAUAAAUGGAUCUAUAUGAAAUAGAUACACUUUAAUGGAGGAUAAUCUAGGUUGUUUAGUUAUCUCAUGAAUUUUAUUCAUUUAUAUUUAUGCCUAUAUGUAUAUGUAGAUGUAAUUGUGGAUAUUACUCCACAACUCAUCACACUCAAUCAAAGAUCCAAAUCAGACAAGUAUCAUAAGAACAAGCAUUCAAACACAUAGAUACCUAUAAAAAUAGUUUUGUUUUUGUUCCUAAGAUUAGGUCUCCUAGUCCUAAGAGUCACUUUAGGUACAGGAUUUCAAAGUGUGAAAUCCACAUUUGUCUUUAGAAAGAAAAGAUAAGAAUAAUCAGAGUAAGCGGAAUUAGAUGAGAAAAGAUUAAGAAAAGUUUAGAAAGAAUCAGAGUAGCAAAGGUAAGUAAGUAUUUGUUGUCCAGUUCUGUCUAGGUUUCGUCCUACAGUCAACAUUGCUCUGAUACCACUUCUGUCACACUCGGGUUUCGGGGCACCAAGACCCGGGCGCGAACAUAAUCACCAGGUGUGCUGGGACCAGGUCUCACACAUAUGAUGAAUCAUGGCACAGGAUCGAAUGUCACAACUUUACUAUAUAAUAGGAAUUCUAUACAAAAUAAAUAAUUACAUAUAAGGAGACAACGGUCCAGCAACCCAAAGUUGACUGGGAGACGACGACCUAGACCUCUCACGAACACAUCACAUCAUCCUCCAAGCGCCUCAUCCAGCGGUACCUGUUCUUGACCUGUGGGGGGUGUGAGACAGCAAGAGUGAGCUCACAUACGUUCAUCGCUCAACAAGUUGUGGGGAAUAAUGUGCAUGAACUCGCCAAAGGUGGGAGCUCACGUGAAGUGUAAGGCUUACCAAAGAGGAUGGUUAGAGCUGAGCGUUGCUUUUAAAGUUGGUCAAAAUUUUAUUAGCAAUUACUAAGUAUAAGUAAAUACCAACCCAAUUAAGUAGUAGAACAAAAGUAACAACAUCACCUGCGAUGCAAUGCAUAUGACAAAUUGAAUUUAAGUUUCAUAAUUUAAUCAUCAGAGAGUCCUGAGCUGCUCAUGACCGUGAGCUCGGCUAGUAUACCAGUUUUACACUCUGCAGAGGUGGUACCCUUUACCCACAAGUCAUGUUACCCAUCUGCCAAGGGAUCGCGACUUCCCAUACACCUCUACCGAGGAGGCGAGGCAGGGUAACACUACGAGGCCUUUACAAAGUUCCACUAGCUUUAGAAAACCCGCUACAGUUUAUAGGAAGCUCCAAUGCAGGGUUCUUGCCUGACCGCCAUCGCAGCAAAAUCAACCAAGGACCUCCCUACACUGACCACUCCCCUACUGCCCUUGCCCCUUUCGGGUAAGGUAGUCCUCCACUAGCUUUCCUAAUUAAUCAGCCAAGGGCGUCCAUAAACCCUUGUGGUGGCACAUGUUUCUCAAGUUAAGCUCUAUGUUCCAAUUAACAUUAAUGAUCUUGACAUGAGCAUAAAUAGAAUAACAAAAUAACUGAAACAUAGAUAUGAUAAAUAAUUAUCCCAAAUCCAUAUAAAGCAAUAGCAAACUACCCAAGUGAUUCAGGGGUAAACAAGGUAAUGAGAUAAACAAUCUAGGGUAACCUAUUGGGUCCCAUCAAAAUUAACCUAUGCAUGAAUAAAUGAUAUUAAAGAACAUUAUUGGGUAACAAAAGUGAAUCAAGGGCACAACUUGCCUGGGACUUGAGAUUCCAGGUACCAGGAUGAUCUUCAGGUGACUCGUGACCUCACGCUAGUCGUAGCAAUACAAACAAACAGUGUAUAGACAAAAUUAACAUUACACCAAACAUAAGUACAAACUGAAUAAUAAUAAUCUACGCGUCGCUACGAGACUAACGCAACUUCAACGGAUCAAAUCGGAGUUAAAACGAAGCAGUUACGAAUUUCCUAAGGUUUUAUGUAUUUGAUACGAGAUUAAUUAAGAGAUAAAUUUUAAUACAGCUUUCAUGUCAAACCAGAGGUACUAUGUGAUAAACAAUAAUAUUAUAGAAUUAUAGGAAUUGGAAUGAAUCAAUUUGGACAUCAUAUGAAUUUUCUAUGAUUAAUACAAGUUCUAGCAUUUAGUUUUACACUAAAAAUCCAUUUCUAAUCUAUUUUCUCUGAUUUUCCAACUUUCUGGACUAGGCCUCAAUUACCCGAAAAGGCAGGGGCCUCGGGGUAACAUUUCUAAGACACAAGAAACAGUAGCCAUGGACUGCGGGUUCUAAUUUGCCUAAACCGAGGGGUUCCAGUGAAAUUGGGCCCGCGAAGGGGUAUCGUGAGAUUCUGGCCGUUCGAUCAGAAACUACAGGCUCCGAUUAGAUCGCAAUUUUCUCCAAGCGGUACACCUCGCUAGCCGCCGAAUCUCGCAUCGACGGUUCUGAUUCCCUGAAACACUCGUCGCCCCGAACUCUAAUCCCAGUCGCCCAACUAAGAUCCAAUGGUUACAAACAUCUCCCCUUUCCCUACCAUCCGAGACUGCUCACCUAGGAAUCAACGGCUAACACACCGUCUUCUCCACGGCGCUAUCCGCCGCUGCGCGCACCAGGCAGGCACAGCCCCACCCACGGCCGCAGACGCCCCCCACCGAUGCGCGCAGUAAUCACGCCACCACGUCAGACCUAGGUCGAGCGAUGGUGAUACCACGCCCCGCUACGCCGAGCCGAACGCCAGCCCAGAUUAAGUCUAGCCGCCAAGGUGAGCUACGCCAGGAAGAAGAAUAAGGCGAGAACGUGGGGGUGUUCCCUACCGAGGGAUUGCGCGACGCAGGAGACCACAGCCGAAGUCUUGCGGCCCGACGAUGCCGACGUGGAUCCACCACGGCGGCCGCAUGCUCUACCCCUGCUACGACGGCGACUCUAUUUGUCGAUGUGGAGGGUCACUGAUUGUCGCAUCCAAGGUAUGCGGCGGCCGUUCUUUUUAUAUCCCGAACGCGAGGCCGAGGACCCAGUCAAAUCCCACCGACCCGCCGAAAUCGCGGAUUCUGUUAGGCUUCGGUGCUCGUUUCAACGAGGAAGACGC
rnacentral:lncRNA from 1 species